UGAGCGAGUGGCCUGUGCACAGGUAGCAACCCUCUGUGGCAAUGGCCUUGAUACUGAAACAGCCCCAGGUACAGCUGCUCCAGGUCAGGAACAAGAGAAGGCAGGGAGCCGCCUCCGGUGAACUGGACAGGUCAGAAGGCAGGAGGCCACCCCAGGUGAGCUGGACAGGGGAGAAGGCAGGUUGUCACAUCAGGUGAGCUGGACGGGGAGAAGGCAGGAGGCCACCCCAGGUGAGCUGGACAGGGGAGAAGGCAGGUUGUCACAUCAGGUGAGCUGGACAGGGGAGAAGGCAGGUGGCCACAUCAGGUGAGCUGGACAGGGGAGAAGGCAGGUGGCCACAUCAGGUGAACUGGACAUGGAGAAGGCAGGUGGCCACUUCACGUGAGCUGGACAGGGGAGAUGGCAGGUGGCCGCCCCAGGUGAACUGGACAGGGGAGAAGGCAGGUUGUCACAUCAGGUGAGCUGGACAGGGGAGAAGGCAGGCGGCCACCCCAGGUGAGCUGGACAGGGGAGAUGGCAGGUGGCCGCCCCAGGUGAGCUGGACAGGGGAGAAGGCAGGUUGUCACAUCAGGUGAGCUGGACAGGGGAGAAGGCAGGAGGCCACCCCAGGUGAGCUGGACAGGGGAGAAGGCAGGUGGCCACAUCAGGUGAACUGGACAUGGAGAAGGCAGGUGGCCACUUCACGUGAGCUGGACAGGGGAGAAGGCAGGUGGCCGCCCCAGGUGAACUGGACAGGGGAGAAGGCAGGUGGCCACAUCAGGUGAUCUGGACAGGGGAGAAGGCAGGUGGCCACACCAGGUGAACUGGACAGGGGAGAAGGCAAGUGGCCACAUCAGGUGAAUUAGGCAGGGGAGAAGGCAGGCGGCCGGCCGCCCCAGGUGAACUGGACAGGGGAGAAGGCAGGUGGCCGCCCCAGGUGAACUGGACAUGGAGACGGCAGCUGGCCACAUCAGGUGAACUGGACAGGGCAGAAGGCAGGUGGCCGCCCCAGGUGAUCUGGACAGGGGAGAAGGCAGGGGCCCACACAGGGUGGGCUGAGCUGCACUGCCCUUGGCCAGCACAGAAGGGCAGCAGGCGUCUGGCGGCCAGCAGCCCCUGGAGCAGGAAGCUGGUCUGAUGAAUGGCCCAGGUCUCCACCAGCAAUAGGUCAGUGCCUCAGAGCCCUGGGUGCUGGCACUCUCAAGGAGGGAGCAGGGAAGGU
rnacentral:lncRNA from 1 species